AGAGGCUAAGAUGCAAUUUAGAGGAAAUUGCAACUUUUGGCCCAAAGGUUUGAAUAAUUAAAUUCAAACCUAUAGUUUUUUUUAAUAUAAUUUUGGGACUCACAAUCCCAUUUUUAUAUUAUUUUUCUCUCUUCCUCUCACGUUGCUCGGCGUUUUCUCGCAAGGGGGGAUUAUUUUCUUUUUCUUCAGAUUAUAUUGACAAAGAUAGUGGUGAAAAAGGAGUUGUGAAGGGGAACUUGUUAUUCAAGACACAAGGAGCGAGUCCGGCCGAGAAAGCACCAGAGGUGUAACUAUGGUGUAUGAAACACCAUCUUUUACGUUGCCUCUUAUUUUGGAUUAUACAAUGUAUCUUGUGCAAACUUAG